ACAGUCACACGUAGUUUGAUCAUGGCUCAGAGCGACGCUGGCGGCAGGCUUAACACAUGCAAGUCGAGCGGGCGUAGCAAUACGUCAGCGGCAGACGGGUGAGUAACGCGUGGGAACGUACCUUUUGGUUCGGAACAACACAGGGAAACUUGUGCUAAUACCGGAUAAGCCCUUACGGGGAAAGAUUUAUCGCCGAAAGAUCGGCCCGCGUCUGAUUAGCUAGUUGGUAGGGUAAUGGCCUACCAAGGCGACGAUCAGUAGCUGGUUUGAGAGGAUGAUCAGCAACACUGGGACUGAGACACGGCCCAGACUCCUACGGGAGGCAGCAGUGGGGAAUCUUAGACAAUGGGCGCAAGCCUGAUCUAGCCAUGCCGCGUGGACGAUGAAGGCCUUAGGGUUGUAAAGUCCUUUCAGAUGGGAAGAUAAUGACGGUACCAUCAGAAGAAGCCCCGGCUAACUCCGUG
rnacentral:rRNA from 1 species